GAUCGUUGAGAUCCGUGUUGUAAUUUUAGCUAUAAAAUUGUUCUACAUGUAAGUUCAAUCUUGACAAUAGUUAAAUAAAUUAAAGUUGAGAGAUUCUCAGUAGAUAAUAUUAGGUUUAAAUUUAGGUUAUACCUAGGAAAUUUUUAAAGAGCGGAAAAUAGCGUGCCAGCAGCCGCGGUUAUACGCAUAGCUUUAAGUUAAGGUUCAUUUACAAUUUAAUGUUUAAUUAAUUGAUAAAUUUGAGUUUAUUUUUAUUAUUAAGUAGAAUUUUAAUAAAAAGCAAUUAUUAUCUAUUUAAACUUAAUAACCGAAAUUUUGGAACCAGGAUUAGAUACCCUGUUACUUUCGAUAUUAUAAGUUGGAUUAUUAGAAUUUUUGAAAUUUAACGGAUUUGGCGGCAAGAUAGCCCAUUUAGAGGAACCUGCCCUAUAAACGAUGAACCACGAAUGACUCUACUUUUUUUGGUAAUCAGUUUGUAUACCGCUGUUGUCAGUCAGUUUUUGUAGAAAACUUUCCAUAAUGGGAUAACCAUUGACUUCAAGUAAAGGUGCAGCUUAUAUAAAAGUUAGAGGUGGGUUACAAUUUACAGAAAAACUACGGAUAAUAAUAAUGAAAAAUUGUUUGAAGGUGGAUUUAAUAGUAAAGUUUAAUUUAACUUGAUGCGAGCACUAACUUGUGUACACACCGCCCGUCGCUCUCUUAAUUUAGAAGAGAUAAGUCGUAACAAGGUAAGUGUAAUGGAAAUUGCACUUGGUAAGAA
rnacentral:ncRNA from 1 species